AUGAAUGCUAAAUAUAAACUUGCUGGAGAUAAGGGUAGAAAACAUGUUGUGUUUGCACCUGGAGAUCUUGUUUGGUUACAUUUGCGUAAGGAUAGAUUUCCUAAUUUGUGCAAAUCAAAGCUAAUGCCACGUGCUGAUGGUCCUUUUAAGGUGCUAGAGAAAAUAAAUGAUAAUGCAUAUAAACUUGAGCUGCCUGCAGAUUUUGGGGUUAGUCCAACUUUUAACAUUGCAGAUUUGAAGCCUUAUUUGGGUGAGGACGAUGAACUUUCGUCGAGGACGACUUCAUUUCAAGAAGGGGAGGAUGAUGAGGACAUCAAUACCAUUUUUCCACCCACAGCCCAUGCUGCUGUACAUACUGGACCAAUUACUAGAGCUCGCGCACGCCAAUUGAAUUAUCAGGUACUUUCGUUUCUUGGUAACGAUUCUAAUGUUCAUGCGAAUAUGAUGCUGCCUAAAUUGGAUACAUUUGUUUUGCUUACAAAUGAAGGGCCUAGCUUGGACAAGAAAUAUGAACCUUGGAGCAAGUUCAACAUGGAGAUGAUGGCAUGCACAAGGGGAACAAGAACGGAGUUACAAGUGAUGAUUCCAGGACUCUGA
rnacentral:rRNA from 1 species